GAGUUCGACCCUGGCUCGAGAUGAACGAGGCAAGUCAGGCGGGAAGUGGAGUUUUCAAUUGCAGACGGGUGAGUAAUGUGUAUUAACCUGUUCUUGGGAGGGGAAAGACAACCGGAAGACGUUGUUAAUUGAGAAGCAAGAGGAGGAAUCCACCCGAGGAGGAGCUCUCCCGUUUGAUUAUAAGCUAGAUGGUAAGGCAAUAACUUAUGCGCCAGACACACUAGAACUGAGACAUCACCCAGAUUCCUGUGGGAGGCAGCAAUGAGAAAUUUUUGCAAUGAGCGAAAGCUUGACUGAGCAAUGAUGUGUAGAGGCAGAAGGUUUACGGGUUGUGAAUUUCUUUUCCCGGAGAAGAAGCAACGAUCAUAUCCAGGGAAUGAACAUCGGUUAACUCUGUGCCAGCAAUAUGCAAGCUUUAUCU
rfam:Populus trichocarpa scaffold_4_contig_512, whole genome shotgun sequence.